GAUUUCUUUUGGUGAUCUUGCCUUGGGGAAGCUUUUUCUUGUGAAUCUAGAAUCUUCUGAUACAGGUUGAGAGAAGUGAUCCUGCCCCUUUACUCUGUGCUGGUGAGGCUUCACCUGAAAGUGUCCAGAUAUGGAGUCCUCAGUGCAGGAGCAACACAGACCUGUUAGAGCGCAUCCAGAGGAGGACCACAGAAAUGAUCCAUGGAAUGAAACACCUUUCCUUUGAGGAUAGGCUGAGAGAGGUGGGGCAGUUCAUCCUGGAGAAGGCUGUGAGGGGAAUUGGACUAGAUGG